CUUGGGCAACAGGGCAAGAAGACCU
rnacentral:misc_RNA from 1 species